rnacentral:lncRNA from 1 species
AUGGGGGGACAAUACAGAGAAAAGCCCCCCCAAGUUGCAGCCAGACCAGGCCCAGGCGGAUCUGAGAAGGGCGAGAGGAGAGAGAGCGACGGCGUCGAGCAGAACCUUCUCCCCUACCCCUCCCUCAUCCCUGGACCCCAACCCAAGAGAAGUCAAGACCCUCUGGGGGCACAGCUGCCCAGGCCUGAGCAGAACCCCCAGAUCGGAGCCUCUCCAGGCCCCCUCCACCUUUGGGGGGACACUGGGGAGCCUCGAACCCUUGAUCAGGCCUUAUUCCCUUCCCCCCAUCCUCCCCCCCAAAAGCAGGAGCCCCUGACCCCCCCGGACCAUCCUCGGGCCUCUGGCAGAGGCACUCAAUGCCCACACUCCAGAGCCCAGACUUCGGCCAGGCUCCGAUGCCUCGGCCACCCAGGCAGACCCCCCUGGAGCCAGUGUCCUGGCCAAGGGCUUAGCCUUGUUGUUACAACAGUGACUUCCCGGGCAGCCAGAUGGGCCGGCGCAGAAGACACGUGGCCCGGAGGGGCCAGACGCCACCAAGAGGCUUUCUCUGCCUGGCACCCUUGCCCACGGUGCCGCUCCACGGCUCCGUCCCAGGUCUGCGGGCUCUUAUCCAACCCGGAGAAUUCCAGAAGAAUCUCUCCUGCCAGGGCACAGAGCCAGUCCCCCAGACCCCAGCAAGCGGGUCCGGCGAGGUCCAUCCCCAGAAGGGUCCUGCCUCCCCUCGGCCCCCUCCCUCGGCGUUUAACUCCACUUAAGGGGGUCCCACCAAUCCUAAGGCAUCAUAAGCAUCGUUCUCCCCAUUUUGCAGCAGAAGAAACCGAGGCUGGACAUAAUCUGAACCCAAGACUCCUUGAUUCCCAUUCAACACUCGUCUACCAAAACCAGGGUCUCCAAAGCCACCUCGUGGCCCACAUGGCCUCCAGCCACCCUCUAGGAGACCCCAGGAACAUCACGACCUCCUGGGCCUCGGUGUCUCCACCCCUUGAACUAUCAGAAGGCCUGCAGGGUCCCUUCUGCAUCUAGUUGUCUACAAUAAGGGUUCUUCCCCUUCUCUGUAACCUGGGCCCCCUGGGCAACCAGUCUGGUGAAGUCUAUGUGCUUCCUCUUAAAAUAAUCGUUUUAAACCCUUACCUUAUGUCUUAGUACCAAUUCUAAGACAAAAAAGUGGUAAGAGUUAGCCAAAGGGGGUUGAGUGACUUGCCCAGGGUCACCUAGCUAGGAAGUAUCUGUGGUCACAUUUGAACCCAGGACCUCCCGUGUCCAGGCCUAGAGCUCUAUCCACUGUGCUACCCAGCUGCCCCAGAGGAGUGUUUUUAAAGCAUAAAAUAAGAAGUAAUAUUACAAAGGAAACCACGCAGGUAUCAAAAUAUUUACAAUAAUAAUAAUAAAUAGGAGGAAAUGAUCA